rnacentral:rRNA from 1 species
UACGUAGGGGGCAAGCGUUGUCCGGAUUUAUUGGGCGUAAAGAGCGUGUAGGCGGCUGGAUAGGUCCGCUGUGAAAACUCGAUGGCUCAACCUCGAGACGUCGGUGGAAACCAUCCAGCUAGAGUCCGGAAGAGGAGAGUGGAAUUCCUGGUGUAGCGGUGAAAUGCGUAGAUAUUGGGAGGAACACCAGUGGCGAAGGCGGCUCACUGGACCGGUACUGACGCUGAUGCGCGAAAGCGUGGGGAGCAAACGGGG